UACGUAGGGUGCGAGCGUUGUCCGGAAUUAUUGGGCGUAAAGAGCUCGUAGGCGGUGUGUCACGUCGGCCGUGAAAACCUGGGGCUUAACUCUGGGCGUGCGGUCGAUACGGGCAUCACUAGAGUUCGGCAGGGGAGACUGGAAUUCCUGGUGUAGCGGUGGAAUGCGCAGAUAUCAGGAGGAACACCGAUGGCGAAGGCAGAUCUCUGGGCCGUAACUGACGCUGAGGAGCGAAAGCGUGGGGAGCGAACAGG
rnacentral:rRNA from 1 species